GACGAACGCUGGCGGCGUGCUUAACACAUGCAAGUCGAACGGAAAGGCCCUGCUUUUGUGGGGUGCUCGAGUGGCGAACGGGUGAGUAACACGUGAGUAACCUGCCCUUGACUUUGGGAUAACUUCAGGAAACUGGGGCUAAUACCGGAUAGGAGCUCCUGCUGCAUGGUGGGGGUUGGAAAGUUUCGGCGGUUGGGGAUGGACUCGCGGCUUAUCAGCUUGUUGGUGGGGUAGUGGCUUACCAAGGCUUUGACGGGUAGCCGGCCUGAGAGGGUGACCGGCCACAUUGGGAUGGAGAUACGGCCCAGACUCCUACGGGAGGCAGCAGUGGGGAAUAUUGCACAAUGGGCGGAAGCCUGAUGCAGCAACGCCGCGUGCGGGAUGACGGCCUUCGGGUUGUAAACCGCUUUCGCCUGUGACGAAGCGUGAGUGACGGUAAUGGGUAAAGAAGCACCGGCUAACUACGUG
rnacentral:rRNA from 1 species